rnacentral:rRNA from 1 species
AUGAGUAACGCAGCCUUCUCUAUAUGCUCGUGGAAUGUGCGCGGCCUCGGUGAUCAGGACAAAUGCACUGACAUUCUCUCAGAGCUAAUCUCCAUUAACCCACAUAUUGCCCUUCUUCAAGAAUCCAAACUUGAAACGCUACCCGACCAGAAGCUACGGUCAUUCAUGCCCCGCCACCUUGACCAAGUUUUCUCCUUACCAGAUGUAGGCUCUGCGGGCGGCACCAUCUCUGCCGUCAACCCUUCCUUCUUUCAAGUAAUCUCCUUCUCACACCUCUCCUUCUCCUCAACCCUAAUCUUGCGAUCAACGAUGAGUGACCAAAACAUAGGCAUCACCAACAUCUACGCUCCCUCCUCGCGUGCCCUCAAGCAAGAAUUCCUCAAUGAAUUACUGCUUAUUGCCCAACCAGAUAACUCACCCUGGCUUCUCGUUGGUGACUUUAACCUCCUCCGAUUCCCCUCAGAUAAAAACAACGCGGCUUUUAGACAGGCAGAGGCCAACGCCUUCAACCAAACUAUUGAUGACCUGGCUCUCAUUGAACUCCCGCUUCUUGAUCGACAAUUCACAUGGUCCAAUAAUAGAAACACCCCCACCCUCGAACGCAUCGACCGCGCCUUCUUCAAUCUAGCUUGGGCAAAUGCCUUUCCCAACUCCUCCCUCACAUCUCUCACGCGUUUCAUGUCAGAUCACGUUCCCCUAAUCAUCACCGUCACAACAACAAUCCCGCGCUCAAACUUCUUCAAAUUUGAACCUCAUUGGGCCCAACUACAACCCUGCCGUGAUACUGUCUCAUCGAUUUGGGCCACAAUUCAGCCCACCUCGUUGCUGAACGCCGGCGCUUCCCUCGCCUCAUGGCUCAAACAAACCCGUGCCACGCUCAAAAAAUGGGCUCGUUCGCGCGUUCCCGCCCCACUACGUGAGUCACGCUGGAAAAUAGCCAUCUCUGCUCUUGACCUCGUAGAAGAAUCUAGGCCCCUCUCCCGCCCAGAACAACUCACAAGACAGAUCAUUGUUUCUCUCCUAAAGAGCACCAUCCUAGAAAAAGUUUCCUACUGGAAAUGGCGUGCUAAAGUGUCACGUGCGAUCCAUGGCGGUGAAAACUCCCGUUUCUUUCACAUGUCUGCCUCACAUAGAAUGCGUAGGAACAAGAUCUUCUCCCUCACCCAAGACGGCUCGACUUUUACCUCACACCCAUAA